AUUUAGCAAUGAUGUGAAAUGGAUUAACCCGUUCAAUCGAUUUCUUAGAAAUUACUGAAAAUUAGAAUAACCCCUACAGUGAACGAAACUUACAGUGUAAAUAGUGCGUCGCUUCACCAUGCAACCUUGGACACUACGAGAACUACUACAUGUAAAGUGUGGAGCAACCCGGAGGAGAGAUGAGCAGAGACAUCCGAGUAACUUCUCCACUACUCGGCAACGUUGGUGAGUUUGCAUGUGUUUAGGUUACAGGUAUUACCUUGGGUCUCCUUCGUCACGUGGCGUGGCGGUAACAAUUGUUCACAAAUCUUCGAUUUCUUAGCUCCAUGGGUAGGCU